rnacentral:rRNA from 1 species
GACUCUGUUCAACGGCCGCGGUAUUCUAACCGUGCGAAGGUAGCGUAAUCACUUGUCUCCUAAAUAGAGACCUGUAUGAAAGGCAUCACGAGGGCUUAGCUGUCUCCUGUUUCUGAUCAGUGAAACUAAUCUCCUCGUGACAAAGCGAAGAUCCCCCUAUAAGACGAGAAGACCCUAUGGAGCUUAAAACAUAACAAUAUCUGCCCCCCAUUAAACUACCCAGGUACCUCCCCCUGGCAUUUUAAUUGUGUGUUUUUGGUUGGGGUGACCGCGGAGAAAAACUUAUCCUCCAAAAUGAAAUGGGAUUCCCCUUAAACUACAAGUUACAACUUUAAGUAUCAAAAAAUUGACAUUCUGACCCAAUAAAUUGAUCAAUGAACUAAGUUACCCUAGGGAUAACAGCACAAUCCACCUUGAGAGCUCCUAUCGACAGGUGGGCUUAUGACCUCGAUGUUGGAUUAGGGCAUCCUAGUGGUGCAGCCGCUACUAAAGGUUCGUUUGUUCAACGAUUAAAGCCCCACGUGAUC